UACGCAGGCGGAAAAUUAAGUCAGUAGUGAAAUCCUGCAGCUUAACUGUAGAACUGUUAUUGAUACUGGUUUUCUUGAAUGUAGUUGAGGUAGGCGGAAUGUGUAAUGUAGCGGUGAAAUGCUUAGAUAUUACACAGAACACCGAUUGCGAAGGCAGCUUACUAAGCUACGAUUGACGCUGAGGUACGAAAGCGUGGGGAGCGAACAGGAUUAGAUACCCUGGUAGUCC
rnacentral:rRNA from 1 species